UCCUGCCAGUAGUUAUAUGCUCGUCUUAAAGAUUAAGCCAUGCAUGUGUAAGAGCAGCUAACAACGGGAAUCCGUUGGAAAGUGAAUCUGCGAAUAGCUCCGUAAACGAGCAAUAAGCUACCUGAGAGUAUGACAAGGAUAACGCAACCAAAUGUAGCGAUAAUACUUGCAACAAAAUGUAGUAGCCAUUUGAAUGCGCACUACAGUCACCCUUCGGGUGCGAUAAACCAACAAAUCGGUCUCUCAGACGCGUUUCUUAUCUAUUAGUUUGUUGGUUGGGUAAGUGCCAACCAAGACAGUUAUGGAUACGGGGAAUCAGUGUUCGGUUCCGGAGAGGGAGCCUUAAAAAUAGCUACCAUAUCCAAGGAUAGCAGCAGGCGCGAAAAUUACUCACUUCUAAUACCUAAGAGAAGUAGUGACGAGAUAUAACGACUCCCCUCAAGGGGAGGUACCAUCUUUAAGGUGGUUGGGAAUGGUUUCAAUGUAAACUGUUGUGAGAGUAUCAAUUAGAGGAAAAGUCUGGUGCCAGCACCCGCGGUAAUUCCAGCUCUAAGAGUGUAUACUAAUACUGCUGUAGUUAAAUCGUUCGUAGUCCACAUGUACAAAAGCGUUGUUUCUGGCUCGUGUUUCUCCAAACUCAACCUCCCUUCGGGGUUGGAAGAGUGGCCUUCGUGCCAGGGGAUUCACUCUAACGCACAAAAGAUCUUCGGAUCUUGCGGGGUCUGUUAACUUCGUCGAGUAAAUUUCAACCCUGAAAAAAUCGGAGUAUUCAUUACAGGCAUUUUGCUUGAACACAAAAGCAUGGCACCGGUUUGUGGUCCUUCGGGACCAAGUAGGGUAAUUAGGAAGAGGGGGAGGACCCAUGUACUCAAUCCUGAGAGGUGAAAUUCGUUGAUUGAUUGAGGACAAACUAAUGCGAAGGCUGUUGUCAGGUCCACUACAUUCCUAUAGAUCAGGAACGAAAGCCAAGGGAUCGAAGAUGAUUAGAUACCGUCGUAGUCUUGGCUGUAAACUAUGCUAUCAGAGGAUUGGACGA
rnacentral:rRNA from 1 species